NNNNNNNNNNNNNNNNNNNNNNNNNNNNNNNNNNNNNNNNNNNNNNNNNNGGGAUUUUUGGGAAUUGUUGGGGAAUUUUUUGGGAAUUUGUCGGGAAUUUGUGGGGGAUUUGGGGGAAUUUUUUGGGAAUUUGGGAUUUUUGGGAAUUUGGGGAUUUUGGGAUUUGGGAUUUGGGAUUUUUGGGAUUUGGGAAUUCGGGAUUUUGGGGAUUUGGGGAUUCGGGAUUUGGGAAUUUUUGUGGAUUGGGGAUUUGGGAUUUUUGGGAUUUGGGAAUUCGGGAUUCGGGGAUUUUGGGGGAUUUUGGGGGAUUUGGGAUUUGGGAAUUGUUGGGAGUUUUUGGGGAAUUUUUGGGGGAUUUCGGGGAAUUUUUUGGGAAUUUGUGGGGAUUUGUGGGGGAUUUCGGGGACAUUUCAGGGACAUUUCAGGGACAUUGUGGGAACAUUUUGGGGAUAUUUCGGGGCUAUUUCAGAGAUAUUUUGGGGUUAUUUUGGGGAUAUUUCAGGAACAUUUUGGGGAUAUUUUGGGGUAUUUCAGGGAUAUUUUUGGGAUAUUUUGGGGACAUUUCAGGGAUAUUUCGGGGAUAUUUUGGGAACAUUUUGGGGAUAUUUUGGGGCUAUUUCGGGGAUAUUUUGGGGACAUUUCAGGGAUAUUUCGGGGAUAUUUCGGGAACAUUUCGGGGACGUUUUGGGAUAUUUUGGGGACAUUUUGGGGAUAUUUUGGGGAUAUUUCAGGAACAUUUCAGGGAUAUUUCAGGAACAUUUCAGGGAUAUUUCGGGGACAUUUUGGGGACAUUUCAGGGAUAUUUUGGGGAUAUUUUGGGGAUAUUUUGGGGACAUUUCAGGGACAUUUCAGGGAUAUUUCAGGAACAUUUCAGGGACAUUUCAGGGAUAUUUCAGGAACAUUUCAGGGACAUUUCAGGGAUAUUUCGGGGACAUUUCGGGGACGUUUUGGGGAUAUUUCAGGGAUAUUUCGGGGAUAUUUUGGGAACAUUUUGGGGACAUUUUGGAGAUAUUUCAGGAACAUUUCAGGGACGUUUUGGGAACAUUUUGGGGACAUUUCAGGGAUAUUUCAGGGACAUUUCGGGGACAUUUCAGGGAUAUUUCAGGGACAUUUCAGGGAUAUUUCGGGGAUAUUUUGGGGAUAUUUUGGGGAUAUUUUGGGAACAUUUUGGGGACAUUUUGGGGACAUUUUGGGGACAUUUUGGAGAUAUUUUGGGGAUAUUUCGGGGACAUUUUGGGGAUAUUUUGGGGAUAUUUCGGGGAUAUUUUGGGGAUAUUUUGGGAACAUUUUGGGGACAUUUCGGGGACAUUUUGGGGACAUUUUGGGGACAUUUUGGGGACAUUUCAGGGAUAUUUCAGGGAUAUUUCAGAGAUAUUUUGGGAACAUUUCAGGGACAUUUUGGGGAUAUUUCGGGGACAUUUCAGGGAUAUUUCAGGGAUAUUUUGGGGAUAUUUUGGGGAUAUUUUGGGAAGAUUUUGGGGAUAUUUCGGGGACAUUUCAGGGAUAUUUCGGGGACAUUUUGGGGAUAUUUUGGGGAUAUUUCAGGGACAUUUCGGGGAUAUUUUGGGAACAUUUCGGGGACAUUUCGGGGACAUUUUGGGAACAUUUCGGGGACAUUUCGGGGAUAUUUCAGGGACAUUUCAGGGAUAUUUUGGGGACAUUUUGGGGACAUUUCAGGGAUAUUUCAGGGACAUUUCAGGGAUAUUUUGGGGACAUUUUGGGGACAUUUCAGGGAUAUUUUGGGGAUAUUUCGGGAACAUUUUGGGGACAUUUUGGGGAUAUUUCAGGAACAUUUCGGGGAUAUUUCAGGAACAUUUCGGGGAUAUUUCAGGAACAUUUCAGGGACAUUUCAGGGAUAUUUCGGGAACAUUUCAGGGACAUUUCAGGGAUAUUUUGGGGACAUUUUGGGGAUAUUUUGGGGAUAUUUCAGGAACAUUUUGGGGACGUUUUGGGGUAUUUUGGAGAUAUUUCAGGAACAUUUCAGGGACAUUUCAGGAACAUUUCGGGGAUAUUUCAGGAACAUUUCAGGGAUAUUUUGGGGAUAUUUUGGGGAUAUUUCAGGAACAUUUCAGGGAUAUUUCGGGAACAUUUCAGGGACA
rnacentral:lncRNA from 1 species